GAAAGAAGUAGAAUGAGGAAAGGCAGGAGAGAAAUAGGAAAAAGACAGUGCAAAAGCGAAAGAGCAGAGUAUAAGCGAAUGGAUGAAGGCGAUGUGAUCCAUAAAAGAAUCCGAGGUAAAGAAACGAAAAGACGUAACGCGUGUCAAGUGCCACGCACGACUGAUCGCCCGUGGUCGGAUAAGUCAGAAAUAUAUUUAUUUAUUAUAAACUCGAAACCAGCUGAUAAUAUAUAAUUGUUGGAACGCAAAAUUCUAAUAUCGCUUCACUUUUAUCAAGAAUCGAUGAUCCUACAGUAUUUAUAGCUAACGAAAAAAAAGGAUUAAAAGCUGAAGCGCUUAAAGAAAUUUUUGAAGUAUUGUUUCGAAUUUAUGAAGUAAUUAUUCGCUUCAUUGAAUCCGUAAAAAGAGCAUGUAAAACGAAUACAUAUGUAAAAAAUUUAAAUCUUAGAUACAAACACCUGUAGUUAUAUAAUAUAUGUGUAUACAUAUAGUUAUUACAUUGUUGGCAAAAUAAUGCUGCCAUUUUUAAUAUAAUAUUAUUUCAUAUACAAAA